GACAGAGGGUGCAAACGUUGUUCGGAAUUACUGGGCGUAAAGCGCGUGUAGGCGGCUAAGUAAGUCGGGCGUGAAAUCCCACGGCUCAACCGUGGAAGUGCACUCGAAACUGCAUAGCUAGAGUCCUGGAGAGGAAGGUGGAAUGCUUGGUGUAGAGGUGAAAUUCGUAGAUGUCAAGCGGAACACCGGUGGCGAAGGCGGCCUUCUGGACAGUGACUGACGCUGAGACGCGAAAGCGUGGGGAGCAAACAGG
rnacentral:rRNA from 1 species